GUUGCGCUAAGUUAUUAGACUAAGUGUUUUCAAAACACUCAGUGGCAGAGGUUGUCGCGUGAUG
rnacentral:tRNA from 1 species